rnacentral:piRNA from 1 species
GGGCCUGAGUUCAAAUCCUGUACAAGC